GUGGCACCACUCCUUCUGGCCUGAGAAAUGAGAGGACAAAGGUGAGAGAGAUCACAACUGCUGGGGAAGUAAAGAAGGAAUCCAGAAGAGGAGAGAGUCAGAGAUGAGAAGCUCCAAAUUCGCUUUUCUCCUAUGUCCCUCUCUGCAUCUCAUGCCUAAAAGAAUCGAGGAAUGAUUUGGUCCAGGGAGAGGAUUUUCAAAGCCAUUAUUACUCUUAUGACUCGUUCACUCCACCUGGAAUUUAAUGCUCAUCAUGAAGGAUGCACUUCCAGGACAAGUGGCAUCUCCAAUCUGAGGAAGUUAUAGACUUGGGAAAAUGGAGAAAAUCACCACAUGUCAGGAUGUCUUACCCACAGGAAAGUGCAAAUACAGGUGAUGAUGAGUUCUCCAGUUGGAGGCAUACCAUGCCUAUCAUCUCUGCUUUUGUGAUGUGGUCAGCCAUUGAAACUCCGUGCUCAGAUAUUUUUCUCUUGGAAUUGAGGACAUAUGGCCUUGACCCAAUAAACAUGGAAAAUGAGCUUCUCUACAUCACAACGUACUCCUUUCAGGUAGGAGUAGUAAGUAAACUGUCUGGUUCUUAUUUUUUUCAUAUUCUUUCAUUAAGAAAACUGGGUUGC
rnacentral:lncRNA from 1 species